rnacentral:rRNA from 1 species
GACGAACGCUGGCGGCGUGCUUAACACAUGCAAGUCGAACGAUGAACUACCAGCUUGCUGGUGGGGAUUAGUGGCGAACGGGUGAGUAACACGUGAGUAACCUGCCCUGGACUCUGGGAUAACCCCGAGAAAUCGGAGCUAAUACCGGAUAGGACCUUUCCCUGCAUGGGGUUUGGUGGAAAGUUUUUCGGCCUGGGAUGGACUCGCGGCCUAUCAGCUUGCUGGUGAGGUAAUGGCUCACCAAGGCGUCGACGGGUAGCCGGCCUGAGAGGGUGACCGGCCACACUGGGACUGAGACACGGCCCAGACUCCUACGGGAGGCAGCAGUGGGGAAUAUUGCACAAUGGGCGAAAGCCUGAUGCAGCGACGCCGCGUGAGGGAUGACAGCCUUCGGGUUGUAAACCUCUUUCAGCACGGAAGAAGCGAAAGUGACGGUACGUGCAGAAGAAGCGCCGGCUAACUACGUGCCAGCAGCCGCAGUAAAAC